rnacentral:lncRNA from 10 species
AGUCCUUCGCCGUCCCUCGCCGUCCUUCGCCAUCGCACGCCACCGCACCCCAUCUCUCGAAAUCUGCAGACAUCUUGAUUUUUCCCACGCUGUCUGUCAGGUCUCCGCCGCCACUCGACGCCAGGGCGCCGGGCCUUGUGGGCUGUGCUGCACCUCGGACGGCUUCGCACCAGCCAGCGCCCUCUCUCUCCUGCAGCACUCUGAUCUGCACCCCCUGAGGGGCUUCCACUGUCCGCGGGGUGAGAAUGCCCCUGGGAGUGUCACAUGACUGCCGCCCCAUGUGUGUGAGAGGCGUCCUCUGGGAGAGCAUGGAUCCUGAGGUCCCAGGAUUGUCAGCUGACCUCUGUCCUGUGUGCCCAGUGGCCCCAGGUGACGUGUCUUCAAGAAGAGGCUGAGCUGCGGUGCUUGUAAGGCAGGGUCUCAUUCUGUCACCCAGGCUGGAGUGCAGUGGUGCAAUGAUGGCUCACUGCAGCCUCGACCUGGGCUCAAGUGAUCCUCCACCUCAGCUUCCUGAGUAGCUGGGACCACAGGUCUCAGCCUUAGAUCCAAGGACAGUCCAAGGAAGUCCUAAGACCAUGGAGUUGGUGAUCUGGGAUCUGGGUUUGCUGAUAUUUCUCACCGUGAAUCUCUUGGUGGUGUUUGUGGGCACGAGAGGGGCAGAGAAUGGAGAGUGAGGCUACCACAUGAAGCGUCACCAGAGCUGCUCCCUGCUGCCUGCUCAGAGCACCCCGGAUCCACUGUUCAAUCUGCACAAGAUUCGGGGUCCAGACAUGGGAGACUUCAGCUGCCUCAGAGGACCGUGGACAGGGAAGGCCAGCCUCGCAUCCCUCUGUCCAUGCCUGGAAUGACUUUAAUAACCAAGAGUUUUAUUUUUGAAUUUGUAGCUGUCGUUCACUUUUUACCCACCCAUUCAAUAAACCUUACAGAAUUGCUC